CUCCUGAUGGCACAGUUGGUAGCGCGUUGGACUGUAAUUGAAAUUUGCAUUGAAAUCCACAGGUCGGGUGUUCGAGUCACCCUCAGGAGA
rfam:Fungal sp. No.14919 DNA, contig: Contig0065.